GCAAGGAAUUUUGCGCAAUGGGCGAAAGCCUGACGCAGCGACGCCGCGUGGGGGAUGAAGGCCCUCGGGUUGUAAACCCCUUUUCCCGAAGAAGAACUAUGACGGUACUCGGGGAAUAAGUCUUGGCUAACUACGUGCCAGCAGCCGCGGUAAUACGUAGGAGGCAAACGUUAUUCGGAUUUACUGGGCGUAAAGCGGGUGUAGACGGCUUCUUAAGUCGGAUGUGAAAUCUCCUGACUUAAUCAGGAGAGGACAUUCGAUACUACGGAGCUAGAGGACGGUAGAGGAAAGCGGAACUCCCGGUGUAGCGGUGAUAUGCGUAGAUAUCGGGAGGAACACCAGUGGCGAAGGCGGCUUUCUAGGCCGUUCCUGACGUUGAGGCCCAAAAGCGUGGGGAGCGAAACGGAUUAGAUACCCGGGUAGUCC
rnacentral:rRNA from 1 species